rnacentral:misc_RNA from 1 species
AUUUUCUUGAAAAUACGAAUUCAGUGUGAAAUUGAGAGUGGGUGAUUUUCAAGGUAUGGUAGCACUUCCCUAACCACGCACGGCUGAAAACUGAACCAAACGUGCAUUAAUUUUCUCGGGUUUUAUAUAGGCGCAGCUGAAGAGCCUUUCAAUUUCUAUUAAAAAAAGGCCCUUCGAUUCGUCCAAUUUUUUAUCUGAGGAUCCCAACAGAUGUCACUGCACAACAUCCAGGCAAUAGUCAUUCACAAGCUUUCAUAUUAAUCAAUGGCAAAAACAAUGCAGGGCACCAAUUCUAUCUCUGAUACUGAGAACUCAAACGACAACCACAAGCGCGAGGGCGAUUUCGAGGAAUCAGAGUUGGGAUUAAAGAAGCAGAGAACAGAAGAAAAUGCAUUGGAGGAGAAAGCGAUAAAGAUAGAUUCAGAUAUGGAUGAAGUGAGUGAAGAAGAAACCAACCAAAAAGUUUGUAUGAAAGAAGCGAAGCAGAGUAUGGAGGUGAAGAAGGGAUUCAACAUCGAAGCUGACGCUGCAGAAGAUAAAGGUUCCAGGCAUUCCAUGGAGGAUGCUUGGGUAUUGCUCCCGGAGGCGAGCUUGGAUUCUCCAGGCACAUUGAGGUGUGCUCAUUUUGCAGUCUAUGAUGGGCAUGGAGGGCGGUUCGCUGCUGAGUAUGCUAAGAAGCAUUUACACAGAAAUGUUCUUUCAGCUGGCUUACCACGUGAGUUGUUGGAUGUGAAAGCUGCGAAAAAGGCCAUACUUGAUGGUUUUCGAAAGACCGAUGAAUCUCUCCUUCAUGAAAGUGCUUCAGGGGGAUGGCAGGAUGGUGCUACAGCUGUAUGUGUUUGGGUAUUGGGGCAAACUGUUUUUAUUGCUAACAUUGGGGAUGCUAAAGCAGUUUUAGCUCGAUCAUCUGAAGCUGGUGGAUCACUAAAUCAUACUGAUGGUGGGAAUCUGUUGAAGGCCAUUGUCUUGACUAGGGAACAUAAAGCCAUAUAUCCAAAGGAGCGUGCACGCAUACAGAAGGCUGGCGGAAUAAUAAGUUCAAAUGGACGAUUACAGGGUCGCCUUGAAGUUUCCAGGGCCUUUGGGGAUCGCCAGUUCAAGAAGGUUCAAAGUACUUCCUUUGUGCAUCAUUUACACUGCAGUUUCAUAUUGGUAGAGCAGUUGAGGUUUCUGAGAGGGUGCCAGGAGUUUUCUAUUGUGUUUUGUCUUUUGUGUACAUUUUUGCAUGUUAUUGCUAUGCAGGAGGAAAGGGUACUCUAAAAUGGGAAAAAAAUAAAAAAAAAAACUAAUUCUAUUGCUUGUGCAUAAGGGUGUAAUUUUAGAAAUUUGUUUUUCCCGGAAUGGCAAAAGAAAAGAAUUUAGCUGAAACUUGGCUGUCUAAAGAAAUUUCUGCAAAGGAGUGGUAAACAUUCUGAAAGUUGAAUUUAUGUUGAAGUAGCUCAGUGAAGCAUUAUGGAAACAAUUGAUGAAUAAAUAGAUGGCUGAUUUAGUCACAUUGAAGAUCUGAACAGAUUAAUUGAAUUUUGUUCGAGGUCAAAUCUUUAUAACAGUAUAGGUUGUACCAUGAUUUUGAUAAAGUAACUGCCUUAAUAUAUUUUGUUUCUUGUGUGUAGAUAGACAUAUAAUAUUUCAUUCUAGUCUGCUUUUCAGCAUAUAAACUUGAAUUUUUACGGGUUGCAAAACCAUAUUAAGGAACCUAUAAUGUAUGAUAUGUUGCUAUCUAAAAUAAGAGUGAGUUGCAGGUGGGCGUUGUUGCAACUCCAGAUAUUCAUUCUUUUGACCUGACAGACAGAGAACACUUCAUCAUUCUUGGUUGUGAUGGUUUAUGGGGGGUAUUUGGGCCAACUGAUGCUGUUGAAUUUGUUCAGAGAUUAUUGAAGGAGGGCUUAACUGUUACAGCUGUGAGUCGCCGUCUCAUAAGGGAAGCUGUAAUUGAGCGGCGUUGCAAAGACAAUUGCACUGCUAUAGUGAUUGCUUUCAGGCACUAGUAGCUCCAAGGUCACUCGUUUUGUCAUCCAAGAAAUAGCUUUCAGCUUCUCAUCACUUGAAAAGAGGUUUUCAAUUUUUGUUUGGUUGUAGGAACUCCCCACAUGGUUAUGGCUUUAUCUAUGCCUAGUUGAUUGAGCAUAAUGGCUUGGUCUAUUGCUGUGUAGCUAAGAAUCUAAGCCUAGCUGCUCAUACGUGGAAGUGUAACUGAACUUCUUGCAUUUUGUUUGUGGAUGCAGGGGUUUGUAGAAAUUGUCAACUUAUGAAUUAUACAUCAAUGUAAUCUAGCAACUUCAAUUUAUGUUCUUUUUUUAUUUUUUUGGACAACUUUACUGUUUGUCAAAAUCUUGUUUGAUAACACUAAAGGAAAAGAGACAUGAAAGAAAAAAAUUGCAACCUUUAUCUUAGGAUAUGAUCAUAAAUUUGCUUUUUAAGCAAAUUGGAAAAACUCGAUUGUUCCCUUCAAUGUUUUAUUUCAGUCUCUUUCGG